rnacentral:rRNA from 1 species
GAUGAACCUGGGCCAGCAGCCGGUGUAAAGCUGGGGUUGCAGGGUGUAUCCGGAUUCACUGGGGUUAAAGGGGGUGGAGGCGGGCAGUUAAGUCAGUGUGGAAAUCUCCGGGCUCAACCCGGAAACUGCCAUGGAUACUAUCUGUCGUGAAUUUUGUUGAGGUGGGCAGAAUAUGUCAUGUAGCGGUGAAAUGCAUAGAUAUGACAUAGAAUACCGAUUGCGAAGGCAGCUCACUAAGCAAACAUUGACGCUGAGGCACGAAAGCGUGGGGAUCAAACAGGAUUAGAUACCCGAGUAGUC